AUGGUAGAAGAAAGAAAGGCAAAGGAGGAAGAAUAUAGAAGAAAACAAGGAAAUGCUGAGAAUUCUCUUGUCCACCUUGAUAAUGAUGAAGGUUACAUCAUGUUUAUCAACUCUCUGGGAGAGGAGCCCCAGCCUGGGAUUCCCAGAAGUUUCCACUUGGUGACCAGCACUGAACACAGACCACCAGUCGUGGAGUUCGGGUUGAGCUGGGUUUUCCUUGUUGCUAUUUUAAAAGGUGUCCACUGUGAGGUGCAGCUGGUGGAGUCUGGGGGAGGCUUGGUCCAGCCUGGGGGGUCCCUGAGACUCUCCUGUGCAGCCUCCGGAUUCACCUUCAGUGACCACUACGUGGAGUGGGUCUGCCAGGUUCCAGGGAAGGGGCUGCAGUGGGUUGGACAAGUUAAUCCUAAUGGGGGUACCACAUUCCUCUGUGAAGGGCCGAUUCACCAUCUCCAGAGACAACGCCAAGAACACGCUUUAUCUGCAAAUGAACAGCCUGAAAACCGAGGACACGGCCGUGUAUUACUGUGCUAGAGACACGUUCCAGAUCUCAUUUGAUCGUCUCGAAGGACCAUCCGCACCCCUGUCUCCUGAAGGCUUCUGGGAGUGGCUGCGGGAUGGGCAGAAGCAGACACCCCAUGUGAGUCCAUACGACCUGGAGCCUCCCUCUCCUUGGAUUAGGCCAUCUUCUCAGGACCACAGGCUAGUAUUGGAG